rnacentral:rRNA from 1 species
GCCCUAAUACAUGGCAAGUCGAGGGGUAAGCGUCACUUCGGGUGAUGACACGACCGGCGCACGGGUGCGUAACGCGUAUGCAACCUACCUUUAACAGAGAGAUAGCCCCGAGAAAUCGGGAUUAAUAUCACAUAAUAUUAUUUAACGACAUCAUUGAAUAAUCAAAGCUCCGGCGGUUAAAGAUGGGCAUGCGUGACAUUAGCUAGUUGGUGAGGUAACGGCUCACCAAGGCGACGAUGUCUAGGGGUUCUGAGAGGAUGAUCCCCCACACUGGUACUGAGACACGGACCAGACUCCUACGGGAGGCAGCAGUAAGGAAUACUGCGCAAUGGAGGCAACUCUGACGCAGCCAUGCCGCGUGCAGGACUGAAGGCCUUAUGGGUCGUAAACUGCUUUUAUUUAGGAAUAAACUCUUGUACGUGUACGAGACUGAAGGUACUAAAUGAAUAAGCACCGGCUAACUCCGUGCCAGCAGCCGCGGUAAUACGGAGGGUGCAAGCGUUAUCCGGAUUUAUUG